rnacentral:tRNA from 1 species
UCCCUGGUGGCUCAGAGGGUAAAGCGUCUGCCUGCAAUGCAGGAGACCCAGGUUCAAUCCCUGAGUUGGGAA